AACGUAGGGGACAAGCGUUAUCCGGAUUUACUGGGCGUAAAGCGCCCGUAGGCGGCUUGAUAAGUUGGACGUGAAAGCUCCCGGCUUAACUGGGAGAGGCCGUUCAAAACUGUCAAGCUAGAGUGAGGAAGAGGAGAGCGGAAUUCCCGGUGUAGUGGUGGAAUGCGUAGAGAUCGGGAGGAACACCAGUGGCGAAAGCGGCUCUCUGGUCCUAAACUGACGCUGAGGGGCGAAAGCGUGGGGAGCGAACGGG
rnacentral:misc_RNA from 1 species